rnacentral:rRNA from 1 species
CCUACGGGAGGCAGCAGUGGGGAAUAUUGGACAAUGGGGGGAACCCUGAUCCAGCCAUGCCGCGUGUGUGAAGAAGGCCCUCGGGUUGUAAAGCACUUUCAGUGAGGAAGAACGCCUGGUGGUUAAUACCCAUCAGGAAAGACAUCACUCACAGAAGAAGCACCGGCUAACUCCGUGCCAGCAGCCGCGGUAAUACGGAGGGUGCGAGCGUUAAUCGGAAUUACUGGGCGUGAAGCGCGCGUAGGUGGCUUGAUAAGCCGGUUGUGAAAGCCCCGGGCUCAACCUGGGAACGGCAUCCGGAACUGUCAAGCUAGAGUGCAGGAGAGGAAGGUAGAAUUCCCGGUGUAGCGGUGAAAUGCGUAGAGAUCGGGAGGAAUACCAGUGGCGAAGGCGGCCUUCUGGACUGACACUGACACUGAGGUGCGAAAGCGUGGGUAGCAAACAGGAUUAGAUACCCGAGUAGUC